GUCAGAUUCGUUUCUGCUGCGCCACAACGGGAACUCCUAGAUACUAUUUUUUAAUUAGGAAUCAGAAACAAUGAAAGAAAGGACACUUCCUGGAGCUUUAUCUGGAGAUUUUCAUCUUCUGACCAAGAUCUCUCAUCUCUUUAAGCUAGCACAAGGGAGCUUUUUCUCCAGGUUACCUGAGGUUAUCCCCCAAAGAAGAUCUUUCCCGUUUGGAAAUAAGUGAUGGGUUUUCUCUACGGUUUGAAGACGACGACGAUGUCAAUGACAGGGAUUAACUUUUACAGGGCAGUUGUUGUGGACCAGGCACUGUACUAAUCACUUCAUAUAUAUUAUUUUAUUGAAUCCUCACAAUCAUCUUAUCAGGUAGAUAACAUUUAACGAAGAGAAAACGGAUAUUUAUGGAGGCUAAUUUGCCCCACGUCACACAGCUAAAAACUGAAGGGCCAGAAUUUAACAUCAAAUUAAAAGUCCUAAUCAUAAAAAUAAAUUGUGCCUCAGAUCCUCCAGCAAAACUUUACAAAAGUUAAAUCGCAUACAAGCUAUCCUUUACAGCAUUUUAAAUUUCCAAUCUAUACUACAAUUUCACUCUCAUACGCAUCAUUUCAUAUAGACACUCAUGUGACUAUCAUGUUAAAAACACUCAGAGCUUCUCUGACUCACACGUAACCUUUUAAGUAAAGUAUGUCUGCCUAUUUAUCCUCUUGUCUUUUCUUCCAGAGAGAGGCAACAUUUCAGAAAUUAAGUGGUUUCCAUGGUUUUUGUUUCUGAGUCACAUUCUUAGCUUUGGAACGACAUUAACACAGGUGCAAAUCCAGCACCGACUUCUCAAUCCCAACAUCCACUUCUAAGCUACAAGGAUAGACUAGCUUAGAAAUCCUGCUCUAUCACGUCUGCUGUUUUCCUCCAUCCGACACCUACAGCUGAAAGGCACCCCAGCACCCUUAAGACGUGUCCAAAGGAGCUAUGUCAUUCACUUGCUGGGCUCCUCUUUCCUGUCCAGCUACCCUGCGGUUCUCCAUCCCUGCCUCCAUCCAACUGCCUGCUUCAAGCUCCUUUCCAGACACUUGCUCCUUUUGGAACUGUGUCCAAAGACCUCUGACUUCGGCUGGAGCACUCAGAGCGCUGGACAGAAUGUCAUAAGCAUAAAAUGCAAAAGGUUAACUGCCAAGGAGAGUGAUGCAAAUACACUGCAUUCCCUUUGAGAAGGAUUAUCUACUUAUGAUUAAAUGUUCCCUAGUAAGAAUGUUUUCAAUAUUCCAAAGUGCCCUUCUGACCUUCUGCCUUUCCUUAAUGAACUUUCAUUUGCCUCCAAAUAGUCAGAAACUGGCUUCUGCACGUGGUACUGAUGAGAAGGUACAUGUGAAGCGCUGGCUUCCCAUGUGAUUGCAUGCCGUGGGAAAAGCUGGAGUGUGGGCCACUAGAGCAGCUACAGCCUCCCCACAUCAUUUAAGGGAAAGUCCUCCACAAGUGGAGAUGAAAUACUAGAAAAUCCAUUCUGCUCAAUAGCAUAGAAAGUAAUCAUCUACCCAGUUAACUCAAAAGAUAGCAGCCAAGGUGCAAUCUCAAAAAGAACCCAAAGCAUCGAUGUAGCAAUAUAAAGGUUAAAUAACUUUGCUGCUGGUUAUGGCUUAUCAAAGUUUCGCUCAUUACUAUUUCUAUCCAAGUUUCACCCUUACCUAAUGCUCGUAUCUACCUGUGCAAACCAAGUGUACCUUAGUGAAACUUACGUCUCAUCAAACACAGUGACACAUGCUACAUGAAAAAUAUCACUUUCUAAAUAUUUCUGCCUUCUUGCUCAGACCCAACCAGCCACAUCUAACAGUGCACUGCAGGGAGACAGACAAGCUGCUCUUCUGUGACAACACGAGGGAAAGGAAAGGAAAAAUCCACCGCUUGUUUCAUCUUAAAUUUGCUGUUGCCUAGAAACACUCAAGAAAUUAUUCUGAGGCAAUUAUUUGAGUCAAAAUCAUUCCAAGCAUGUUUCUCUCCCCAUAUUUGACUAAUUGGUUUUUACCAGCUUUGUUACAGUUCAUCUGUUGUUGUUUUUAAUUUCCCAGAUAUUCUGAUUAUUUUUAAUUCAGGAGCUUUUUAAUUUAACAAAAGGAGCUAAGUUAACCAAAUUUCCAGCAGGAAAGGAAAGAAACCUAUCUCCCCCACAAAAAAAAUACAAUAUCUAAACAUAGCAAGACUAUCUAUGACUACAUAGCCUAAUAAAUGAAUGAAUGAUGGAUGGAUGGAUGGAUGGAUCUAAAAAUACCACAUAUUUAAGGAGACCAGCCGAAGAUUAGAAAAUGACUUAAAUGUUAGUAAACUAAAAAGGAAAGCCUUGAAUUUUUUUAAAUAACAAAGAAGAAAUACUCAAUUAUCUUGAGUCAAAGGAAAAGAUAUAUGGCAAUAGCGCCCCUGGUUUUGGAAGCAAUUGUUGAUGGCAUGUUUGAACAUCUCAUCCUCACUUUACUUUCUCACCUUUCCUCCUUCUUCACAUGCUCUAUCACCUCCUAGCAUUCUGCCUUUCUCAUACCUGCCAAUCUCAUUUAACAUUUUCUCAUGUUAGGAGAAGUAAGGAUUAAAUGGUCACCUAGAAUGAACACGCCUCCACCACAACAGACUAAACGGUAGAUUAGAAUCACCUCUGAGAAGCCUCCCCUCACUCAACUGCAAUCCGGGAAUAAUAGGUACCCUUUAUGGAGUACAUAUGAUGUACCAAGCAUUAUCCUGAGACAGAUAAUUCUCCGAGGGAAGUCUCAGUAGCCUUGUGACUUACACGAGGACACGAAGUUACAGGAAGGUCUGAACCUUCUACCAGCGGACCCACGCGUCACACACAGGUCUCACUGACUCCAGAUCUUUCCAUCAUGCUUCGCUCUGCUUAUUCUCCAUUCAUCUCCAUGAACGUUCAUUGAGAACCUGCCACAUGUAAGUCUUGGUUCAUCUAGAGGAGGUUCAAGGAUCACACACUCCUCAAAGCGAACUUUUAUUUCUGUUUACUUUUACGUGGAUUAUCUCAUGCAAAACAACUUGAAACACAGAUUUUAGGCCACGAACAGGGAUGUCACAGAUUUCUGGCUGUGCUGACAUGAGUAAAGGAGGAGCAAAGGAGCAAAUGAACAAGCCAGAACAUGGAAGGAACAUUAGUUUCAGGGACCCAUCCUUUAGAUGGUGGUCGUGAAGAAAGAAUGUUUAAAAGCAGAGACUCGCUGUGUGAAAGGAAGGGUCUGCCAUAGGGACCAGGCUUCCGCCCUCCCCAGGCGAGUCCCCAGAGACGAAAUCUACAGCACAGGAAACUUCCACACCAUCCCUUGCUCUGCCAUAAAGCAAAGGUCGCUCAGGUCAUUUAGACCAAUGACGGCUAACUGGUCUUUAUUGGUUAUUCUAGUUAUACUGAGGUCGGAAUUUAUAUUUUUGGUCUUCAAAUAAUAAGAGUCCUGUUCUUCAUAUCAAAUAUGAACAAUUAACACUAGAAGCAAAGUAAAAAUGAAGUGGAUAGAAAGCAGAAAAUAUAGUGGGUGCUCUAUAAUACUGUUAGAGAUAAAUGUUAAGGGUUACAAGGCACAAAGCCAGUAAUUAUUUCUGGGUGGAGAGAGUCAACGGCUGUAUACAUCACUGAAUAUGUUUUGUCAUCUCAUAAUAUGGUUACAAGUAGUACCUUCGCUAAAAAUAAUUUUCCCCUACAACUUUUUUUUUUUUUUAAGAAAAAAAGCUUUUCCAAAAUCUUGGAUAAGCACAUCAGCAGUUAACCUGCCAUCUACAACAGUAUUUGAAGGUCACUUGGGAAACUCAUGUCACUUAUGUAGAGGUCAAUUUGAAGUACUACUACAAUUAUUUAGCUCUUAAUAAGUGUUUGGCAUGUCCUGCAAGGUUCUCUCCAGGCCCUAAUUAAAACCACACACCCUGCUUCUGUCCUGGCAGAAUAUUUGGGAAGCCCAUAACUAACCAAUUCACCACACCACACCAACCUCCAGGGCACGCGUUUAUUUGCAUUCACUUGAAAACUACCUUUGCAACUUGCACAUAAAAGUGACUGAUUCUCUGAAAACCGGUUCGGCUUCUUGUUUUUAAUGGCAAAUGCAACCCUUAAUUUACAAAAUAUUAUUCUGAUUAAGAGGACUGGCUUUUCUACUAAAUCAUGCUCUUCUGACAUUACCUGUGUACCAGGCAGUUUCAGAUCAAGAUAGUAUCAGAUAACUGUUAAUAUUUACAGAGUUAUGUUAGGAGAUGAGAUUCACCCAUGCAAGAGCUAUUCACAUAUAACCAUAAAUUAUUCAGCUUUUCUAAACAUCUGCUGUUCCCAAUUAUCAGAGCAAACUGACACUUGUUUCAAUGUCACUGUCGGACCAGCUCUUUGCUAGUUAUCUUGAAGCUGCUGUGCUGUAGUGCUCGUCCUGUUCUUCACUGCUCAGGAUUAGAGGCAGUAGAUCUGGCUCAGGCAAACUUAGCAUUUGCUCCAUGCCAAAUGCCCUUUAUUUCUCUGGCGGGCUUACCCAUGGCAUGUGAUUGUUUGCACUGGUGGGUUAGAUCUUUCUCAUUACAAGCAUGCUCUUUGGCAAGGGCCAACUAUAGGGCAAUUCUUGUCCUAUAUUCAUGCAUAGAAGUAUUCUUCAUCUUUUAUUUUCUUUCUAAAAAUUUUUUACUGUUAUUCCCCCAAUAAAAUUUUUUUUCCCACUGUACAGCAUGGUGACCCAGUUACACACACAUGUAUACGUUCUUUUUUCUCCCAUUAUCAUGCUCCACCAUAAGUGACUAGACAUAGUUCUCAGUGCUACACAGCAGGAUCUCAUUGCUAAUCCAUUCCAAUUUUUUGAUAUAGUUUUAUUUCAGUUUGGUGAAUAAAGUGUGCCUGACAUGUAGUAGGUGCUUAAUUAAAGUCUGUUAAAUGUCUAGUGCAAUUUAUUGGACCCCAACUUUAAAAAUAAAACAAAGCCCACCUUCUACUAGAUUACAUACUCUCAGUUUUAUUGGGAAAACAGAGUUUGACAUUCCCAUUGGCCAAAUUAUCUAUAGAGAUAAAAAUAUCUGUAACCUCUGACCCAUUAGUAAUAACAUACCCAUAUGUGUACUCAACAGUAUCUGCUGCAAUUUUAGAGCUACUCUCUUAGAUAAAUUAUGAUUUAAAAAUAAUAAAAUAAGGGAGUUCCCAUAGUGGUGCAGCAGAAACAAAUCUGACUGGUAUCUGUGAGGAUGUGGGUUUGAGCCCUGGCUUUGCUCAGUGGGUUAAGGAUCCGGCGCUGCCAUGAGCUAUGGUGUAGGUCACAGAUACGGCUCAGAUCCUGGUUGCUGUGGCUGUGGUGUAGGCCGGCAAAGCUAUAGCUCCGAAUCAACCCCUAGCCUGGGAACCUCCAUAUGCCCUAGGUGUGGCCCUAAAAAGCCAAAAAAAAAAAAAAUUAAUUUUAAAAAUAAAAUUAAAAAAAUAAUAAAAUAAAAUAAGCCUUCCUUUUUUCAUUGCAAACCUUAUCCAUUCAAUAUUAACUAACUUAAUAAUGUCAACACAAACCAUGGUGGAUUUGAUAUCAUUUAGAAAAAGCAUGCAAAUUCUUUAACUACUAGGAGCAAAAACUUUUUUUUUCUAUUUUUACUGUUGAACUAUCUGAAAUGCAUGAUACUAAUGAUUCAUCCUGCAAACCAACAAAAAAAAAAAUAUGAAAAAAAUUCCUAAAAUUUGUCACACCAAGGUAUAUCCACCAUAGGACUAUACAAUAAGUAGUAUACUGGCUUUGUUGCUUUAAAAGAUUCUAGAACAGUAGCUUCAACAAGAUUAGAAAGGUUCAUUUUCCUCCUACUCAGAGCAAUCCUAGCUGGGAGAAAUUCAAGGGAGGGGAGCAGGAAUGUUACAUGAUAUGAUAAGAGACCCUGUUUCUUUCUGUCUGGUUGCUUUGCCACCCCUAAGGAAUGCCCUUGGUUGUAAGGUCAAAGGCAACUCCCAUCACCAGGUCUGCAUUUCAGCUUAGGAAGAGGAAGAUAAAUGAAGGUCAAACAGCUCGAUUUUUAGGCUAUGAUAUGAAAAUUGCUGAGGUCACUCCUGCUAAUAUCCUAUUGGCCAGAAUUUAGUCACCUGAUAUUAUUUAAAAGCAAAGGAGACUGGGAAAUGUAGUCUGUAGCAGGACCGCAGGGAGACACAUAAAACUCAGGGAGUUCUACUAUUAAAAAGAACAGGAGGGAUGGAUUUGGGGGAAAAUAAGCAGGUUGACAAAGCAGACUAGCAUAUUCUUUCAUUAAUUCAAAAGACCCAUUUAAUAAAUGGCAUUUAUUAAAUAGACACUCUUCCCAUAAAUAUGGAAAUUCUAAUAAUGUUGGAGCACUGUUUUUACUUACUCUCUAGAACAGUAAAUUGCAAGGAAAUUUUCAAGGACAGGUGUGUUCUUGAAGUGAUAUUAGCACCGUGCUUGCUCUAUAAUCAUUCAUAUUGAAGUUGAAUAUCAAAUCCAAAAAUGGACCUGCUAGGUUUUCUCUUUCACUGGAGUUGUCAGAGGUGGCUAUCCUCUCCCUAGCUGACUGAGGAAGAGAAAGGGGGUAACUAAUCAUUAUUGAGGAGUUCUUCUCUAUCAAGCCCUGUGCUAGAGACUUACAAACCUUAUCUCAUUUACCUCCUUAAGACAGCCCUUUGUGAAACUAUUCUGUUCUUCAAAUGAGAAAACUGAAGCUUGAGGGGUUCAAUAAUUAAGCCAAGUGUGUUAGAUUUGCUAUGGGCUCAUUUUCUGCUUCCAUGGGUAGUUAGGGGGAAAAAAGUGGACCUUUUCACAAAAACUCACAAAACAGAGAAAAACCACCAGCCAGCCACCUCCUGUUCUUCCAAGAUUUGUGGGGAAGAAAGGAAUCUCUGGCCCAAAGGAAGAGUCAAGGGUUAUGUUGCUCAUCACUCCAUGUUGAGUUCUACAUCUUGCUGGAGGCAAACACACCUGAGAGCCUGUGAGUCCCCAAGAAACUGGAUCCUUCUUCGGCUAGCCUGGGGUGGGGCUGGAGAGCAGGUCCUAGCACCUCCAUCAACUGGUCUCAGAGGUACAUCAGAAGUGGCACAGCCUGGGUCUAAGACCUGCUGAACUCAGGCCAACACAGAGAAGUCACCAUCAGCCCCUCUUUUGGGUGUAGUCCUGACUUCCAAUAGGAGAGCUUGAGCUACCAAGACACAAGUGAUUCAUCAGUUCUUUGGAAGUAUAUAGCUAAAGCCAGUUGUAAAUUUAAUUUCAACAUAGCAUUAGUGAUGUCAUUCAAUCUGCAGUAUUACAAUCAAAUUGCAUAACUAACCACCUUGGUAUUUAUGACCCAAAGCUUCCAUUACUUUGGACAAUAAUCUUAUGCCCAAGCAAAGAAAGUCUCUCGACAAAGGAGCACUAGCUUAGGAAACCUCAGACUCUGAAAAAGACAAAGAACACCUACCAAAAACCAAAUUCAAGCAGCCAAAGAGAAAAAUGACAAAGCCUAGAUUUUCAUCCUUAUCAAAUUGACUGGACCACUAAGCAGAGAAACCUUCAGCACAAUAAAAUCACUCCAAUGAAAAUUAGGGGAGAAAUACUACCUUACAGGUAAUGAGUCAGUGCUGUUGCAUGCUGCUGGACCCCAGCUGGCAUUUCAAUCUUCACUGUAUUAUCGAAGGAAGUAAAAAAAAAAAAAAAAAAAAAAAAAAAUCCUUUUAUACUGUUGAGCAAUGAAUUCUGUCUGUAAGUUCAUAAGAAUUCAUUUUUAAAAGUUUUGUUCCCACGGUGGCUAAUUAGCAAGGAGUUAAGAGCUCAGGCUCUAUUGGCAGAGACUUGAUUUCAAAUUCAGUCCUGCCACAGACUA